CAUAAAUAAAUGAAGUGAGAUAAAUAUAAGAAAAAUUUUUAUAGAGGUACCAUUAUAAGACAGAUUUCACUUUCUUCAUAACUCUCUUUAAGCAAAAGCACAAGACAAAAGCAUACGUGCAUGAUGAGGGGCACGGAUGCAGGUUCAGGGUGGAUCACUUUAGGUCACGAGUUCAAGACCAGCCUAGCCAACAUGGCAAAACCCUAUCUCUACAAAUACAAAAAUUAGCUGGGCAUAGUGGCACGCACCUGUACUGAAUUAACUCUUGUUUUUAUUGCACUGUUAAUUCCAGCUCUUGUCUGUCUCCCUAAUUCAUUCCACAUGUCUGGUCCCUUCUGCCCACAGCAGUCCCUGCCCAGGCCGGGGCUCAUCUGUUUUGUACGUCUCGCCUGACAGGCGCUGGCAGCUCCAUCCAAGAGCUCCCAGGGUUUUCAGGUGCCUCUCUCAGGGCAUGCCUCCUCCUGCCCUGGACCGCAAGUGUAUGGCCUCUGCUUUGAAAGCAAAAUGGUAGAGCAAAAAAAGUGUUAGAGAAAGCAUCCUGCUGUUCCGCACCCGCCUCCACACGCGUUCCCUGGCUACACUGUGUUCCUGGUCCUGCUUGGCUGUGUUUCCCACUCCCUCCUCCUCUUCCACCUCCAUUUCCAACAGGUCCUCACACUGGAUGAGCCAUUAGCNNNNNNNNNNAGCCAUUAGCUCUGCCCCAAUUUUAACCCCAUGAGCAAGACUCUUAGAACCCAGGAGUGGUGAGCUCCCCCACGCCAGCACUUCUCAUCAUCA
rnacentral:lncRNA from 1 species